GUCAGUGCACGAGCAGCCCAGCUCGGCCGCCGCCGCCGCCGACCAAUCCCCGCGGCCCGAGCCCGCGGCCAGCGAUGAUACACGCCCAGCCCCGCGCCCGUCACCGCGGGCCGCUGCUGUAGGCAUGGGCGAGCUGCCGCCCGCAGGGGCAGAGGCUGCUGCACAGGGGCAAGCGGGGCCGGGAGCCGCGGCCCUGUGCCCAGCUGGGCGGCUGAGGCCGGGGGACGAUGGAGGAAAGUUGGGGAGCAGAGGGAACGGAGAGAUCUCACCGAAAAGGUAGCCAGUGCAAACCAGUCGCUAGGACUCAAAGCUUGUCACUGAUUUUUCCUACGGAUCACAACUCCUUUCACAGCCACUUCUUUGUGAGCCUGGGAAUCUAGGUGCCCCUUGACUCUUGAGAAGCCCCAUGCCAAGUUACACAGGCAUCAAGGUAGCAGUGUAUCUGGAGGUGGACUUGGAAGAUGGAAAAGAAUCCUUAUGGAUCAUUCAGGGAGGAGGUUCCCUGCAGACAGACAUUGUGGAAGAAAGCACAAAGAUAAGAGCAAUAAGGAGUCAAGGCUGGCAGCAUUGGUCAGGAGGAAAGGAUAAAAUGAUAAAGAGACAAGAGGAGCAGAGUUAUGAAGAGCCAGCUUGUUAACGACCGUUCCCCCAACCCCAAAAAAAGUCUUCAAGCAGUCUCUGUGCAUCAUCUGCAUGCUGAUCAUAAAUCCUUUGCAGUUGGGAGGCAUGGUCACCAUCUCAGAAAAGAUGCUGUAAAAUUAGAGGUGGUUCAUUCAGAGAAAGGCAAUAAGAAUCAUUAAGGGCCUGGAAAAGCUCUCAUAUGAAGAGAGAAUGAAAAGAUUAGGAUUGUUUAUCUUAAAAAAGAAGAUGAAUAAGAGGGGACAUGAUCAAAAGUGUGUGUGUAUAUAUAUAUAUUUUAAAAAAGAAAACAGAAGCUUCUACCGUCUCUAUACCAGUUUAUAUAAUAUUACAAGGUAGAAGCUUCUGUUCUGUUCUAUUCCGUUCUCUUUUUUUAGAAAUACAAGAACAAGGAGACAGUCAAUGAAAUUAAAAGAUGGCAAAUGGAAAACUGAUAAAGUAAUACUUUUUCACACAAGACAUAACUGGACUGUGGAACUUAGUGCCAUGGAAUGUUGUUGAGGCCGAGAAUUUAGCAAAUUCAGAAUGGCAGUGGAUGUUUAUACAGAUAACAAUAGCGAGGAUUAUCAUAAUUGAUUGUGACAGAUUUUUGAAGGAAUAUUAAAUCUGAUGAUUCAGGGCUUUAAUUAAUCUCUAUUAGAGAUCAGGACCUAAUGGGGGGACAAAUUAUCCCACAUCUGUCUACUGCAGGGUUUUUACACCUUCCUCCGAAGCUCCUGGUGGGGAACACUGUUGGAGACCGAACACUCUCAGGUCCAAUCCUGUAUGGCAGUUCCUAUGAGUAACAAACCACACUUUCAUCACCACUAGAAAAAUCUUAAUUUAAUUGAAAAGAAUAGGCUGAAGAAAUAUCUGUGGGCUUGUGUGGUAGUAAAUGGUUUGGGUUGGCUUUUUUAACUGUGCCCAUUGCAGAACAUAGCAAAAAACACCACGGAUCAAGAAGUUCUUGAGUUCUUCAGAGAAUGUUCUCAGGAUUUGUGAUAUCAAUAGAACAUGUACUGUCAAAAAGCCCCAAGUACAAAUGUCUGCUAGAUGAAUUCAUACACAAACAUCAAAAAGGUCCCGCUGAAUAUUUGAGCUGUUUGAAUUGGUGAAAGCGUUUACCAUAGUGUAAUAGCCUGAGAGAGCGUUUGUGUUUAAAAAUAAAAAGUGUAAAAGGUAAUCAGAUUUUCAAGGUGAAAAACAGGGACAUUUGCCUUGGGAGAGGGGGAGUUGUAGGGUAUGGUUGCAGUGUGGGGUCAGAAAGAAGUAAAGAGAAGGGAAGGAAAAUAAUUCUCAUUCCUUUCUCUUGCAUUUUCUGUGCUUUAGGGUUUUUUUUCCUUUUACCUUUUUUUUCCUCUGCUCCCCUCUCCUCCUCUUUCUUCCCUAGCUGUCACCCACUUAGCUUCUCCUCCCACUCUUUGUGCCACACUUUGCUGUCUUUGGUUUCCAACCUUUCUGUUCUUUCCCACCACAAUCCUACCACAAUCUGGUACUCACCUCUGAGACAGGUGAGGUGAGCAGAAGUGUGGAUCCCAGUCUUCAGUCUGGCUCAAUAGUUGUCUGCAUAGGAGGCAGCGCAGCUGAGCUACCUGUGCACUCAGAGUUGUGUCUGCACUCAGACUUCACAAGGCUCUGACUGAGGGUGAAAAGGGCAGUCCUCACUCAGAAGCUCAUGGAGGGUCAAGGUGGUACCUUUAUUGUACAAGAGACCUCAGGAUGGCCCUGGAAGUGCAUAAGCGCUCAUUUAACCUGCUGCCAAUUUUUAGCAGCUCAGCCUGGACUUGGAUCUUUGAAGUGGUCAGUUUCCUGACAGUUACUAUACAAAACAGGACAAAGCACUUGUACAUAACUUGUAUGUAAUAAGGCAGGAAUAUCUGUAAGCCAACAUGAUAGCUGGCUGCUAAAGCUAACUGUAAAGAGAACUGCAUCCAUCAAAAGCUAUUUAGUUUUCAUGCUUAAUUAGUUUUAGUCACCAAGCUGAUAGGCAAGACUUACUUCCAUUAGAUGAAGAAGAGAAUUUUUAAAAGAUUAAGUGAUGUAUAUACACAACACUGUAUUAUCAUAAUGCUGUUGGAAGCCAAUGUUGUAGUUAAGAUUGCAAACUCAUGUGCAUUGCAAAACUCGUUCACUGAGAACUGUCUCUUUACAUAUAGAUUUGUUACUUGAGCAAUUAUUCCGAGUUUGUCCUCCAUGUGAGGUAGCUGUCCUGCAAAUACAUUUAGUGAUUGAGAUGAUGAAUAAUACAACACAGCUUUACCUAACAGUUGAAAACAUCUGAAUUCGAUGCAAAAACCCUUCUGGCAAUCAAAGUAAGGAGCAUCCAACACUGAAGCAUGAAACCUCAGUCUGCUGUCUUAAUCCUUGAAACAGAUAUGAAAUAUCCGUACCAAUUUGGAAAUCAGUGUGCAGGAUAUAAGUGGGGUUUUUUUUGGAGAUUUAUUAUUCCAUUCAAACUCUUGUUUAUUCUUCCCUCUUACUAGAGCCACCUGCUUCUUUCUUGUUUCUAGGCUGACAGAAUGGCAUUGUUUAGAGACAGUCUGCUAAGAACAUAGAGAUCCUCAAAUCAGCAUAUCUUUGAGCAUUUUCAGUACCUAUUAACUGUCCUAAGAAAUAGGGGGCAGUUCCUGCAUUGAAUUAAAAUUUCAGUCUGAUUUGUCCCAAAGAUAGCCUCCAGUUUCUUAAUUUGAUUGAUGAUCAUGAAAAACAAAAGCAAAGAGAUUUCCUUACUUUAGGACCCAAUCCUACUUCCAUUAAGUUCUGUGGCACAUUACCUAAUUGAUUCAAAGGCAGCAAGACCCUAAUCUAGUCUUUCCUUUUAUGCUCUUUUUAAAAAGGACAGGAACUGAUAGUUUGUCUUUGUUGGCUUCAUCGGAACAUACCAUGAAAAACAUUUUUACGCAUUAUUAAAAUCAUAGUGUAGCAGAAAUAAAACAGACUCAGCAUGAGCAUUUAAACAUUUUUGUGUAUAUGCAACUCUUUUCUUUAAUAAAGCUGAGUGAAGAUAGAAUUAGAGCCCAGUGGUAUUAGAACAGCUUUGUGUGCUUUCCCGUUUAAAAUCCUAAAUGCAGAGAAAUAGGGUCGAUUUGCACUGGUAUAAAUGCAAUUAAAGUUGUGUAAGAUUUUCCAUUGUGAAAUCCCUGAUAACCAAGUUUUCAGAUGAAGUAGAGCUAUGCCAAAUAUUCACAGACACACCCUAAACUAAGUAAAACUCACCUGAUUUCAGGGUUACAAACUCAGAGCAAUUUCCUCACAAGGCUCACAAACUUUUUGAAGUAAGCUGGAACUGGUUUUGAAUGCACUUGAGACCGUUUCUUUUUUAUAAUGAACUCAUGCAAAGUAUAUGUAAUUUCAUAUGACAAGGUGAAAUUUAGUGGAUCAACGACAAAGAAGAUUUUCAGAUAGAUCCUGCAAAAAAUCAAAGCACUGACUGGUAAUUUCACCAAAAAACUUCAGUCUGGACCAAAGACUGGAUGGAAAGACUUCCACUGACUGCGGUGGGCUUUGGAUGAGUCCUCAAAACAUUUAGGCCAAAUUCCCUCUUUCUGCUCAAAGACAGGUGGAAGGAGAAAUUCCAAGUUUAUAUCUUUCUGCCUCUUUUGCUAGUAAUAUGAAAAUCCAGCAUUUGUGACAUCUCAUUUUUCUAUUAUGAUACAAGAAGUGUGUAGUGAAUGUGAAUAACUUGGAGAUGAAACUCUGGGAAGGGACAUAAAUCUGUAAAAGAUUUAUUGCACUUUUUACUUGGCUGAGCUUUUCUGGACAGAUGCAGAGGGUCACUUUUCUUUGCCUUUAUUUCAUCUAUCAUCAUUCCAAUGAGUACAUUUCUGUUUCUUUAUUGUGAUGCUGGAAAGCUCAGAUAUCCAUCAGUAAUAUGCUGGAAUAGUAUCUUUAUUCUGUAGCGUUAGAACAUGAUUUUCUAGCCAGUUGGAAAGAGUCAUUUUCAUUGUAACUCCUUCAGUUCUAAUUGCUUAGCUUCACUGAGAUCCUGUCUAUCUAAUACCAGUGUUUUGGAAUAUAAAAUCAAGUCGAUGUGAUUUGAAUGAACCUGAACGCUUAUAUAAACUAUAUAAAUAAGUAUUGUCAAAAUUAAUUUUUUGAGGGAUUCAGCUAAUGCCACCAGCACUAUACACCCAAUCUUGUACUCCACUGAGUCAUAGUAGCUCAUAGAUUUACCACUAUUGGUCAGUGUUUUUUAAUUGUCACUUGAUGCUUGUUAUUUAAUUUUAGUUCAGUAUAAUGGUGAACUAUGUACCAAACUUAACUCUUGCCACAAGAUAUUUUGAUGGACAUAAUCACACGUUAAUCUGAUUUGCCAUAGGAAAUAAUGUCCGACAAUAGUAAGCCCAUCACAACCUCUUACAAAGAAUAAGACUGAUCUGCACAGCCCAUAACAAAGCUAUUGAGGUCCCAAAUAGUGAACUAGCAGGAUCAUCGGAUAGAUUUGCCUUCAACCUUCGUUUAAUUAAUCGUUUGAUUAAUGGUUCACAUAGAUGAAUUCUCCAUGAAUACAGUACUUUAAAACAAAAUUGAACCAAUCAUAUACUGUUCUUCCUAAAGUUUUGCAUAGCUUCCAUUUUAAAAAGGUUUCUUCUGGCCAUUGAACCUUCUAAAUUAACCAAGUUUUACAUUAUUGUAUGCAAGGCUGUGGUAGCCAUGUUGGUCCCAGGAUAUUAGAGGGACAAGGUGGGUUUUUACAUUGACAGUUUUGACUUCUUGCACCCCUCAACUUGUCCUGGUGCUUACUUACUGAAUUUUCUUCAAGUGACUGUUGUGUGCCCAACAUCUGUGUGUUUGCUUGCAAUUGGCCAUCCUGCUUGAGACACAGUUAUACAUUUGUUUUAAAAAUCAAAUACAGGUAUUCAAAACAAAAUUGUACCUUCCAAAAAUAAAUUUAAAAAAAUAGACAAGCUCUUGAAACCAGAAGAUAAUUCUGUACAGUUUUAUUUCUUCCAAAGAGGUUUCAAAUCCACAGAUUUUUCUGCUUUUAAAAGCUGUUAGGUUCACAUAAAAAUGAACCUCAAAAUAGAAGUGCUCCCUGCAGAACUAAUAGGUGGAACUGAAAAUGUGUUGCUAUAAAUGUUAGCUUGGAACAUCAAUAUAAUGACCUAAUUUUAUGCCCUUUAUAUUUCUUCUCCCAGUGAACAUGAUUAGCGAAAGAGGUCUGCUUCCUUAGAAACAAAUAAACUGAAGAUGUUGCAAGUAGUACUUAUCCUGGAACCCUUCAACAUAUAGUUGCAAUUCUGUUAAAAAUGAGAUUGAGUUCCAUGUAUAAGAAAAUAAAUUACAUCAGUUCAGCUGUGCUCACACUGGAGACACAAGUAACUAGAAAAUCAGGGGAGUGGAUUUAGAAUGAGUUGAGCUUUUAAUAACCAGGGAUAUAUAGUACAUUAACGCUCAAUCUUCAGUGUCUUUAGAUGACAGUUAAGAUUGAGAAAUAGCUCGUCAUUUUUGCUAUUCCUUUUGUUUGCUAUUUUGAUUGGAAAUGUCUGAAUUAAGAAACUGCAUAGUGAAAGAGCGCUUAAAUUAUUGCUUUGAUACUCUCCUCACAAUACAGAGCCUUCUACACGGCCCUCAUCACCGUGCUAUCUGAGUGCCUUACAACCACGAAUGUAUUUUAUCCUCACAUCACCUCUGUGAUGUAGGAAAGUACCAUCUCCAUUUUACAGAUGAGGAAGUGAGACACAGCGUAGAUGAAGUGAUUUGUCCAUAGUCACACAGGAAGUCUGUGGUUAAACUGGGAAUUAAACCCUGGUCUCCUGAGUCCCAGUCCAGUGCCCUAUCCACUAAACUCAUAGACCAUCCUUUCUGCCAUCUUGACUAACCUUUUGCUUAAACCCCAAGGAAAAUGUACAUCAUUCUACUGCUAAUCUCACUAGUGGGUUGGUUAAUCACUUAUGCACACUAUUAAAUGGAAUACCAAAUCUGCUCAUUUACAAUAUGUAAUAUGUACACCUGUAAAUUAUGCUUUAAAAAUUAUUGAACUAAUACAUAUCUGCCUAUUGUGGGUGCAAAAGCAUGGGGAGUUCAGCAUGGCAAACACUGCCUUAGCCUUUUACCUUUGCCAGUAAAAGAGGUCAAACAGAGCAUAUUGCUUAGUCUGUAUUUCUCCAAGUUGUAGCCUAAUGUAAUUGAGUAUUUCAAAUAUAGAGACAGAAUAAAUUAAACUUUAACAGCUAGCUGAUUAUGUGUUGUUGCAAAAGUUAUUAGUUCUAUUGGUUUCGUUUUACUGGUAAAAAUUACAUAGUUCUGUAGAGUCACUGUCUCAAUAUGACUAAGGUUUUGGCUUUGUAGACAAGGCAAGAGAGUUAACACAAAUGCUGUCAGUGCCAGGCACUAGAGUUUUCGGUCCAGUCUGUUAAAAGUCCUUUUUUAAAAAAAAAAAAAUUGUUAUAAGAUGGCUUGACCCAUGGUUUACCAGGUUAUAACUAGAGCCGGUCGGGAAUUUUUCGACAAAAUGUUAUUAAUUAGAAAAUGCUGAUCUGUCCAAACAGAAACAUUUUGCAGGAAUGUAUGAAGUUUUGACUAAGCUUUCAU